AGAGGUCACUGCCCGCGCGACUGAGGCUGAAGUGCGGGCAAGGGAGGCUGCUGAGGCUAGAGAUAGCCUGUCUUCCUCUUUGGAUCAGCUGAAGGCAUAUCGUGACUGGAUGCGUUACCACGGUAUCGGAAUAUUAUUGGAACCAUUCUUGAUGCGCCUGAGAACACAGCUGCUGUAAAUGAGCUUAAGGAGCGCGCGCGGGAGGCAGGAUUUAAGGCUACUUACAAUUGAUGCAUUACCCAUAUGAACCCCUUGUACCAAAGCAAAUUUACUGAUGAAAGGUCUGGGUUUCAAAGCGUAGAUACCGAAGCGCGGUAUGCUGCAGCUAUUACGGCGUAUAACGACCUAUCCAUUGCCGCUAUUAAUGAUAUUGAUAACUGCUUGGAGGCGGAGGAUUAUGUUGACCGCUUGCGGUUGUAGUAUGGUGAUCCGGAAGAGGAAGAGGAGCAAGCGGCCGCUGGCAGUGGCAAGGGUGAUGCGGGUACCAGUGGUACAAAGAAGGACUAGGUUGGCCAGCGUGCCCUUUUUGAUUUCCUCUUUGAUGUAAAUGUUAGAAAACUUUAUGUAAAUUUCUUGUGCACCGCGUAAGUGUAGAAAUUUUAUGAAAUACAAAGUUAAUCUUUUUAUUCAA